GAUGAACGCUAGCGAUAGGCCUAACACAUGCAAGUCGAGGGGCAUCACAUGAAGUAGCAAUACGGAUGGUGGCGACCGGCGCACGGGUGAGUAACACGUAUGCAACCUGCCUUCAACAAGGGGAUAACCCGUUGAAAGACGGACUAAUACCCUAUAACACAGGGGUCCCGCGAUGGGAAUAUUUGUUAAAGGACAACCGGUUGAAGAUGGGCAUGCGUUCCAUUAGCUAGUUGGCGGGGUAACGGCCCACCAAGGCAACGAUGGAUAGGGGAACUGAGAGGUUUAUCCCCCACACUGGUACUGAGACACGGGACCAGACUCCUACGGGAGGCAGGCAGUGAGGAAUAUUGGUCAAUGGACGCAAGUCUGAACCAGCCACGUCGCGUGAAGG
rnacentral:rRNA from 1 species